AUUGAACGCUGGCGGCAUGCCUUACACAUGCAAGUCGAACGGCAGCACGGGAGCAAUCCUGGUGGCGAGUGGCGAACGGGUGAGUAAUAUAUCGGAACGUGCCCGGUCGUGGGGAUAACGUAGCGAAAGCUACGCUAAUACCGCAUACGAUCUACGGAUGAAAGCGGGGGGAUCGCAAGACCUCGCGCGAUUGGAGCGGCCGAUAUCAGAUUAGGUAGUUGGUGAGGUAAAGGCUCACCAAGCCGACGAUCUGUAGCUGGUCUGAGAGGACGACCAGCCACACUGGGACUGAGACACGGCCCAGACUCCUACGGGAGGCAGCAGUGGGGAAUUUUGGACAAUGGGCGCAAGCCUGAUCCAGCAAUGCCGCGUGCAGGAUGAAGG
rnacentral:rRNA from 1 species